CUGGGUGUUGCGUAGUGGUUUGAACACUGGACUAUGACUCUGGAGACCAGGGUUCGAUUCCCUGCUCCACUA